rnacentral:rRNA from 1 species
UACGGAGGGUGCAAGCGUUAUCCGGAUUCACUGGGUUUAAAGGGUGCGUAGGUGGGCAGGUAAGUCAGUGGUGAAAUCUCCGGGCUUAACUCGGAAACUGCCAUUGAUACUAUCUGUCUUGAAUACCGUGGAGGUCAGCGGAAUAUGUCAUGUAGCGGUGAAAUGCUUAGAUAUGACAUAGAACACCAAUUGCGAAGGCAGCUGGCUACACGAAUAUUGACACUGAGGCACGAAAGCGUGGGGAUCAAACAGG